AGCGCCGGUAAGGUGAUAUGAACCGUUAUAACCGGCGAUACCCGAAUGGGGAAACCCAGUGUGAUUCGUCACACUAUCAUUAACUGAAUCCAUAGGUUAAUGAGGCGAACCGGGGGAACUGAAACAUCUAAGUACCCCGAGGAAAAGAAAUCAACCGAGAUUCCCCCAGUAGCGGCGAGCGAACGGGGAGGAGCCCAGAGCCUGAAUCAGCAUGUGUGUUAGUGGAAGCGUCUGGAAAGUCGCGCGAUACAGGGUGACAGCCCCGUACACAAAAGCGCAUGUGUUGUGAGCUCGAUGAGUAGGGCGGGACACGUGGUAUCCUGUCUGAAUAUGGGGGGACCAUCCUCCAAGGCUAAAUACUCCUGACUGACCGAUAGUGAACCAGUACCGUGAGGGAAAGGCGAAAAGAACCCCGGCGAGGGGAGUGAAAAAGAACCUGAAACCGUGUACGUACAAGCAGUGGGAGCACCCUUCGGGGUGUGACUGCGUACCUUUUGUAUAAUGGGUCAGCGACUUAUAUUCUGUAGCAAGGUUAACCGAAUAGGGGAGCCGGAGGGAAACCGAGUCUUAAUUGGGCGUUAAGUUGCAGGGUAUAGACCCGAAACCCGGUGAUCUAGCCAUGGGCAGGUUGAAGGUUGGGUAACACUAACUGGAGGACCGAACCGACUAAUGUUGAAAAAUUAGCGGAUGACCUGUGGCUGGGGGUGAAAGGCCAAUCAAACCGGGAGAUAGCUGGUUCUCCCCGAAAGCUAUUUAGGUAGCGCCUCGUGAAUUCAUCUCCGGGGGUAGAGCACUGUUUCGGCUAGGGGGCCAUCCCGGCUUACCAACCCGAUGCAAACUGCGAAUACCGGAGAAUGUUAUCACGGGAGACACACGGCGGGUGCUAACGUCCGUCGUGAAGAGGGAAACAACCCAGACCGCCAGCUAAGGUCCCAAAGUCAUGGUUAAGUGGGAAACGAUGUGGGAAGGCCCAGACAGCCAGGAUGUUGGCUUAGAAGCAGCCAUCAUUUAAAGAAAGCGUAAUAGCUCACUGGUCGAGUCGGCCUGCGCGGAAGAUGUAACGGGGCUAAACCAUGCACCGAAGCUGCGGCAGCGACACUGUGUGUUGUUGGGUAGGGGAGCGUUCUGUAAGCCUGUGAAGGUGUGUCGUGAGGC
rnacentral:rRNA from 1 species